rnacentral:rRNA from 1 species
AGUGAACGCUGGCGGUAGGCCUAACACAUGCAAGUCGAACGGCAGCACAGGAGAGCUUGCUCUCUGGGUGGCGAGUGGCGGACGGGUGAGGAAUACAUCGGAAUCUACUCUGUCGUGGGGGAUAACGUAGGGAAACUUACGCUAAUACCGCAUACGACCUACGGGUGAAAGCAGGGGACCUUCGGGCCUUGCGCGAUUGAAUGAGCCGAUGUCGGAUUAGCUAGUUGGCGGGGUAAAGGCCCACCAAGGCGACGAUCCGUAGCUGGUCUGAGAGGAUGAUCAGCCAGACUGGAACUGAAACACGGUCCAGACUCCUACGGGAGGCAGCAGUGGGGAAUAUUGGACAAUGGGCGCAAGCCUGAUCCAGCCAUACCGCGUGGGUGAAGAAGGCCUUCGGGUUGUAAAGCCCUUUUGUUGGGAAAGAAAUCCAGCUGGCUAAUACCCGGUUGGGAUGACGGUACCCAAAGAAUAAGCACCGGCUAACUUCGUGCCAGCCGCCGCAGUAA